CCUACGGGUGGCAGCAGUGGGGAAUAUUGCGCAAUGGGGGAGAGCCUGAAGCAGCAACGCCGCGUGGAGGAUGAAGGCUUUCGGAUUGUAAACUCCUUUUGUUAGGGAAGAAAAUGACGGUACCUAACGAAUAAUCACCGGCUAACUACGUCCCAGCAGCCGCCGUAAUACGUCGGGGGCAAGCGUUACUCGGAAUCACUGGGCGUAAUGAGCGCGUAGGAGGGACAGCAAGUCAGAUGUGAAAUCCUCUGGCUUAACCAGAGACCGGCAGUUGAAACUGUUAUUCUAGAGUAUGGGAGAGGGAGGUGGAAUUCGUGGUGUAGCGGUGAAAUGCGUAGAGAUCAAGAGGAAUACUGAUUGCGAAGGCGGCCUGCUGGAACAUAACUGACGCUGAUGCGCGAAAGCGUGGGGAGCAAACAGGAUUAGAUACCCCAGUAGUC
rnacentral:rRNA from 1 species